rnacentral:rRNA from 1 species
GCAUAACGCGAAGAACCUUACCAGGUCUUGACAUCCCUCUGACCGACUCUUAACCGAGUCUUUCCUUCGGGACAGAGGUGACAGGUGGUGCAUGGUUGUCGUCAGCUCGUGUCGUGAGAUGUUGGGUUAAGUCCCGCAACGAGCGCAACCCUUAUCUUUAGUAGCCAGCAGUUCGGCUGGGCACUCUAGAGAGACUGCCAGGGAUAACCUGGAGGAAGGUGGGGAUGACGUCAAAUCAUCAUGCCCCUUAUGAUCUGGGCUACACACGUGCUACAAUGGUGACAACAAAGUGAAGCAGCCUCGUGAGAGUGGGCAAAUCACAAAAAGUCAUCUCAGUUCGGAUUGUAGUCUGCAACUCGACUACAUGAAGCUGGAAUCGCUAGUAAUCGCGAAUCAGAAUGUCGCGGUGAAUACGUUCCCGGGUCUUGUACACACCG